GAUGAACGCUGGCGGCGUGCCUAAUACAUGCAAGUCGAGCGAAUGGAUUAAGAGCUUGCUCUUAUGAAGUUAGCGGCGGACGGGUGAGUAACACGUGGGUAACCUGCCCAUAAGACUGGGAUAACUCCGGGAAACCGGGGCUAAUACCGGAUAAUAUUUUGAACUGCAUGGUUCAAAAUUGAAAGGCGGCUUCGGCUGUCACUUAUGGAUGGACCCGCGUCGCAUUAGCUAGUUGGUGAGGUAACGGCUCACAAAGGCAACGAUGCGUAGCCGACUGGGGAGGGUGAUCGGCCACACUGGGACUGAGACACGGCCCAGACUCCUACGGGAGGCAGCAGUAGGGAAUCUUCCGCAAUGGACGAAAGUCGGACGGAGCAACGCCGCGUGAGUGAUGAAGGCUUUCGGGUCGUAAAACUCUGUUGUUAGGGAAGAACAAGUGCUAGUUGAAUAAGCUGGCACCUUGACGGUACCUAACCAGAAAGCCACGGCUAACUACGUGCCAGCCGCCGCCGUAA
rnacentral:rRNA from 1 species